rnacentral:rRNA from 1 species
UUGAAAAGAACUUUGAAGAGAGAGUUCAAGAGUACGUGAAACCGUUCAGGGGUAAACCUAAGAAACCCAAAAGAUCGAACGGGGAGAUUCAUCGUCAGCGACGCAGGCUUCGCGUCGGUGGGCGAUGUCCCGCGGGGCCUCGCGGCUCGCGCGCGGACACGCUGCCGUGCGUCGAUGUCCGGCGUUUCGUCGUCGUGCACUUCUCCCCUAGUAGAACGUCGCGACCCGCUGGGUGUCGGUCUACGGCCCGAGUGUGGUGACUGACGCGUCGCCGAUAAAACGGCACGCGUCAAACCCUCGGUCGCCCGGCCGGCUGCCCGGCGGUACGCGCAAGGUAUCAGGCCGCACACACGCGCUCGUUCGUCUGUCCUCUCACGGGGACCAGGCGGACGUACGCAGCGGAGUGCGUCGAGGCCGUCGCAAGCGCGCGCCAUGGUACACGGAGGCUAACGGACCUAGCGCCGUCACCGGACCUGGCCCGCUGUUGGUCGCACGGUUAACCUUCGACAGGCCUAACAAACGUCCCACGGGAGGGAAACCUCCUCGGCGGGGCGCACGAUACCGGUCGGCGACGCUACUGCUUUGGGUACUCUUAGGACCCGUCUUGAAACACGGACCAAGGAGUCUAACAUGUACGCGAGUCAUUGGGACUUGACGAUACCUAAAGGCGUAAUGAAAGUGAAGGUCGUCCCUGGUUGUCGACCGAGGGAGGAUGGGCCGCGUCGCGACGCGGCUCCGCACUCCCGGGGCGUCUCGUUCUCAUCGCGAGAAGAGGCGCACCCAGAGCGUACACGUUGGGACCCGAAAGAUGGUGAACUAUGCCUGGUCAGGACGAAGUCAGGGGAAACCCUGAUGGAGGUCCGUAGCGAUUCUGACGUGCAAAUCGAUCGUCGGAACUGGGUAUAGGGGCGAAAGACUAAUCGAACCAUCUAGUAGCUGGUUCCCUCCGAAGUUUCCCUCAGGAUAGCUGGCACUCGGCCGUUCCGCACGGAACGCGCGCGAGUCUCAUCUGGUAAAGCGAAUGAUUAGAGGCCUUGGGGCCGAAACGACCUCAACCUAUUCUCAAACUUUAAAUGGGUGAGAUCUCUGGCUUUCUUGAACUAUGAAGCCACGAGCAUCUCGGAUCAGAGUGCCAAGUGGGCCAUUUUUGGUAAGCAGAACUGGCGCUGUGGGAUGAACCAAACGCAGAGUUAAGGCGCCCAACUCGACGCUCAUGGGACACCAUGAAAGGCGUUGGUUGCUUAAGACAGCAGGACGGUGGCCAUGGAAGUCGGAAUCCGCUAAGGAGUGUGUAACAACUCACCUGCCGAAGCAACUAGCCCUGAAAAUGGAUGGCGCUGAAGCGUCGAGCCUAUACUCUGCCGUCAGCGGCAAGUGGGGCGGCGCGUUAACGCGCGCCGUCACGAAGCCCUGACGAGUAGGAGGGUCGCGGCGGUGUGCGCAGAAGGGUCU